AUCCUUUUGUGGUUCAUAAGCGUGAUGACUGGGUUUUCAUACUAUUGUGUGAGAUGUGCCUCUCUCAAACCUUGUUACUACAUUGGCACAUUACCCGUCUGACG